rnacentral:rRNA from 2 species
UUCGCAAUGCCCGAAAGGGUGACGAAGCGACGCCGCGUGGGUGAGGAAGGCCUUCGGGUUGUAAAGCCCUGUCAGGAGUUAAGAAAUAUAGGUUCGCUAAUACCGUUCCUAUUUGACAAAGGCUCCAAAGGAAGCCACGGCUAACUCUGUGCCAGCAGCCGCGGUAAUACAGAGGUGGCAAGCGUUGUUCGGAAUUAUUGGGCGUAAAGAGCACGUAGGUGGGUUUGUAAGUCAGAUGUGAAAGCCUUCUGUUCAACGGAAGAAUUGCAUCUGAAACUGCGAAUCUUGAGUGUAGGAGGGGAGAAUGGAACUUCUGGUGGAGCAGUGAAAUGCGUAGAUAUCAGAAGGAACGCCGGCGGCGAAAGCGAUUCUCUGGCCUAUUACUGACACUGAGUGUGCGAAAGUUAGGGGAGCAAACGGGAUUAGAUACCCCGGUAGUCCUAGCUGUAAACGAUGGGCACUAAGUAGAGGGGUUUU